rnacentral:lncRNA from 1 species
GGGGAGUGGACGGCUGGCCACCGGCUGCCCAGCGCCGGUUGGGAGUCUGCGGCCUCCGUGUUUCUAACAGCCAAGGCGCUGCCUUUGGCACCUGAACGCGGGGCGAGGGUCUGCUCGUGCGGAACUCCCACUCCCCACUCUGAGCGUCGCGGGGCUCCUGCGGGCUCCAUGGCAGCUGUCGGCAGGAAUGAGCUCCCCACCGAGACGGGUCCGGGCAGCGUGGCCCUCCCCUGUGCUCAGCGCCACCUCCAGACACCGCCGAGGCGCCACGGGGAGCUCCACCUGUCCUGGGCCAGGCCAGGAGGGUGCCGGCAGGUCUCUGCCUGGGAGCCCGGGACAGGCCCGGACGGGAGCCGAGGGCCCGCCUCCCCCGUGCCUGCCUCCUGCGCUGCGGUUCAGAUCCGCUCUCUGUCCUGCGGCCAGAUGGUGCGGUCUUGGGGGGUCCCCACACCUGCGCUCAGGACCCCGAGCCCCUGGAGUCCCCUGGAGCAACAUCCAUCCAUCCGUCGCCAGGCCCCGGGUAGGCGUGGGCUGGGGCAGGAGCAGCCAGGCCUGGGGUCUGACAGCGAUUUUCCGUGUUCCAGCCCCUAACCCUGCCCAGCCUCCCGCAGGCCCGCAGCACCUGGCUCAGCCCCGCGGGGCACGGAGGCUGAGGACCUGCUGCACAGGGAUCGUGCUCCCAGGUUGGCUGCCACAGCCAGCCCUGCCUUGAUCCUGGGAGGAGCCCUGAGCCCCAACUAAGCA